GCCGGGUGUGGUGGUGCGCACCUGUAAUCCCAGCUACUCGGGAGGCUGAGGCAGGAGAAUCACUUGAACCCAGGAGGCAGAGGUUGCAAUGAGCUGAGAUCGCACCAUUGCACUCCAGCCUGGGCCACAGAGUGGGACCCCGUCUCAA
ensembl:misc_RNA Metazoa_SRP Metazoan signal recognition particle RNA